rnacentral:rRNA from 1 species
GACGAACGCUGGCGGCGUGCCUAAUACAUGCAAGUAGAACGCACAGUUUAUACCGUAGCUUGCUACACCAUAAACUGUGAGUUGCGAACGGGUGAGUAACGCGUAGGUAACCUGCCUGGUAGCGGGGGAUAACUAUUGGAAACGAUAGCUAAUACCGCAUAAUAUUGAUUAUUGCAUGAUAAUUGAUUGAAAGAUGCUAUUGCAUCACUACCAGAUGGACCUGCGUUGUAUUAGCUAGUAGGUGAGGUAACGGCUCACCUAGGCGACGAUACAUAGCCGACCUAAGAGGGUGAUCGGCCACACUGGGACUGAGACACGGCCCAGACUCCUACGGGAGGCAGCAGUAGGGAAUCUUCGGCAAUGGACGAAAGUCUGACCGAGCAACGCCGCGUGAGUGAAGAAGGUUUUCGGAUCGUAAAGCUCUGUUGUAAGAGAAGAACGGGUGUGAGAGUGGAAAGUUCACACUGUGACGGUAUCUUACCAGAAAGGGACGGCUAACUACGUG